rnacentral:RNase_MRP_RNA from 1 species
GAGUUCGGUUAAGAUUUGCAGUUGAAAGUACACUCUGAGUAUGAAUUACUCUCAUAACUUUCAGGGAAAGUCCUUGGAUUAACUUUAGAGGAAACUCAUGUCGAUAAUUGGCUAGUAAUCAGCUAUAGCUCUUACAAACGCAGCAUUCUGUAGCAAGACAAAGUAGCUGAUAACCAUCAAAGCUAAAGUAUAAAAUUGCAAAUGACACGUAGUGUUAACACAAUAGGGCUUACUCUAACUGAACU